ACGACUCUCGGCAACGGAUAUCUUGGCUCUCGCAUCGAUGAAGAACGUAGCGAAAUGCGAUACUUGGUGUGAAUUGCAGAAUCCCGUGAACCAUCGAGUUUUUGAACGCAAGUUGCGCCCGAAGCCUUCGGCCAGGGCACGUCUGCCUGGGCGUCACGCAC
rnacentral:rRNA from 9 species